rnacentral:rRNA from 1 species
GGAAAGUUGCAAAGAACUUUGAAGAGAGAGUUCAAGAGAACGUGAAAUCCUAGCGGUUGAAGCGGAGAGAGUUGACGUAGCUCGGCGGCUAAGCUUACUGUUGCUUCUUCGGAGGCUUCGGUUUGUGAUGUCCGCUUAUAGCUGCGCUGGUAGCGUUGUUCGAGUUUUCUGACCUGGUUAGUGUUGCCCACUUCGGUGGUGUCUUGCUACCGGCGAGGUCUGCCGUAUUAACGUUUAACUUGCCUUACGGUGAGUACCAGUGUGAAGGUCAGCCACCUUUCCGACCCGUCUUGAAACACGGACCGAGGAGUGUAACUUGUACGCGAGUCAGAGGGUGGAAAACCCUACGGCGCAAUGAAAGUAAAGGUCGGUUAACCGGCUGACAUGGGAUCCGUUCUUACGAGCGGCGCACCAUGGCCCUGUCUUGAGAGCUUGCUCUUGGGCAGAGGUAGAGCGUACAGGUUGCGACCCGAAA